UAUUUUCCAAUAUGAUUACAACAAUGAAGAGGUUUCUCACUCUGCCUUACUCACUGAUUGCAAGUUCAAAACUUCUGGACUUCCACUGGGUCUUAGCUCUGUUAAAAAAAUGGUAUUUAUUUACCAGAGUGCCUUUGGAUAUAAGAGGUCCAAAGUUCCAAGGAGUAGAUUUUCAACAUAUAACUACAGACCAAGAGCAAAUACAACAAACCCUAAUAUCAGUAUCAGUGUCACUAGUGACCUAGUCUGCUGAUCAUAAACUGAAUGGAGAGCCUGCAGUCAUUUGUCUGUUGCUUCAAUGGGGAAAUCAAUUCUCAGUUAUCUACGCAUGGCUUGUCUGGCUGAGGAUUAACCAGGCUGGGGAUGCACUGACCUCAGUUCAUUCACCACCUGCAAGGCUGACUUUGGACCAGCAGUCUGUAUUGAUCCCAGCAGUGCUGCGUGCACAUCUGUCAGUUCCACAGCUGCCUCCAGCUCAUCAGCAUAUUAUCUGUGUCACUCAGAGCUGUGUGGAGGCCUCUCCACAGCCCCUGCCAGGUGGGGUCAGCUGCCCUGGCCAGCUCCUGCAGCAGCAGAUACAACACCUCUUCCCGCACUAACUCGGCAUAAACUGACUUUGUUUAUGCUCUGGGAUUGAUGCUGGCAUCCCCUCAGCUGUCAGAAGCUGAGGAAACAAUCUUUGCUCCUUAGACCACCAGCAAAGGAGAGAUUUCCAACUUUAAAUGAACUAGUUUGUUACAAGUUAAAUUUAAUUAAUAUGGAAGUGGGGGAGAUUGAUGAACUGUGUUGUAGGCGCGGUAGCUCUUCCCAAAACCUGGUCAUGGGUACAGCAAGAUCUUGUUCCAUGUGCUUCCCAGCAAAGUGGUUUUCCUUUUCACCUUCAGCAGCAGGAAUGGACUGCUUGAACUUGUAUUUACUUUAAAUAAUUAGAAUGCGGUGAGUUUAGGUCUUAAUGCAGGUCAUCAGUUAAAUUUUAAAUGUUUAGGUGCUUAAAUAAUAGACUCUGUGUUAAAGUGAUAUAAACAAAAAGGAUCUAAUCUGUUUUGUUUAAUUGGAAAAAAAAUUGCAGAUUUGUAUUUGCCUUGUUAUCUCUAUCUUUUAUUAUUCCAAAGAGGCUCGGAAUAGAGAUGUUAUCUCAGCUUUAGCUGUGCUCUUGCAAUGUUGCAAUUCGUCAAACCAGUAAUUUAUGUUUCAGUUGAAAGGAGGUGAGAAAUAAUUAACUCGUGUAUUGCAUCCUUGUCUUUGCAGGCCUUUCAUUUUCAGUGAGUACUUGCACUAGCAGUUUUUAUUUUUUAAA